CGCGUAGGCGGUCUGGUCAGUCGGAUGUGAAAGCCCCGGGCUUAACCUGGGAACUGCAUUCGAUACUGCCAAACUAGAAUAUGGGAGAGGGAAGUGGAAUUUCCGGUGUAGCGGUGAAAUGCGUAGAUAUCGGAAGGAACACCAGUGGCGAAGGCGGCUUCCUGGCCCAAUAUUGACGCUGAGGUGCGAAAGCGUGGGUAGCGAACA
rnacentral:rRNA from 1 species